rnacentral:rRNA from 1 species
AUUCCAGCUCCAAUAGCGUAUAUUAAAGUUGUUGCAGUUAGAACGCUCGUAGUCGGAUUUCGGGGCAGUCCGACCGGUCUGCCGAUGGGUAUGCACUGGCCGGAGUGUCCUUUUUGCCGGAGACCGUGCCUACUCUUAACUGAGCGGGGGCGGGAGACGGCACUUUUACUUUGAAAAAAUCAGAGUGUUUCAAGCAGGCAGCUCGCUCUUGCAUGGAUUAGCAUGGGAUAAUGAAAUAGGACUUUGGUGCUAUUUUGUUGGUUUCGAACACCGAAGUAAUGAUGAGGAGGGACAGUCAGGGGCACUCGUAUUCCGCAGAGAGAGGUGAAAUUCUCAGACCCGCGGAAGACGAACCACUGCGAAAGCAUUUGCCAGGGAUGUUUUCAUUG